UGUUGGUGUUGGUGUUAUCCUGUUAUGGUAUGGUUUAGGAAAAGAAAGGAUAAACAAUUAUUGCACAUAUAUUUGGUGUAUUUUAUUUAACUUGUAUGAUUGUGUGUCUGUAGUAGACGAUUUGGUUGUUGUCUUGGAAGUAGAUGCUUGUUGUUUUGGUUUGGUUAAGUGUUUAGGAAAAGCUUGGAUAAAAUCCAUCUUGUUGUUGUUAGUGUUGUUAUUGCUGUUGUUGUUGUUUGAAAUAAAUGGUUUUUUCUGUUGUUGUCCUGGUAUGGUUCAGGGUUUAGGAGUAGAUAUCCAAUAGAUGAUUUUUUUGUUCUUGUCCUAGUAUUUAUCUGGUUCUGUUUAUAGAAGCUAUGUCCAAUAGAUUUUUAGUUGUUGCAACAAUUUCUACACUUGUGCCAACAAUAUACAAUAUGUUGCAACAACUACAAAUCUGUUGGACAUAGCUUCAGUUUUUUGGUUCUGUUUGUAGAAGAUAUCCAACAGAUUUUUAGUUGUUGCAAUAAGUUAUACACUUGUUGCAACAAGUAUACAAUAUGUUGCAACAACUACAAAUCUGUUGGACUUACCUUCAGUUUUUUGGUUCUGUUUGUAGAAGAUGUCCAACAGAUUUAUAGUUGUUACAACAAGUUAUACACUUGUUGCAACAAGUAUACAAUAUGUUGCAACAACUACAAAUCUGUUGGACUUUUCUUCG